AUCUGUUUCCCAUCUGUGGGGGGAGGAAAGCGUAGAUUGCAAACGUUCUCCGAGGUCCUGUUUUGGCCCAGGUUUUCGAAGCCCUAGCUCUGUUGACCUCUGAGAACUAAGGACUAACGCCCCCACCUUCUCCUCCCAAUGCUCCGGGUUCCCUUUUUGAGGCUCUCUAUGGCUCUCCCCUAGUGUGGGGAACCCACAGAGGAAGUAGCCAGUGUCUUUUCUCUUUGAAAUUCCUUUUCACCUUGGCACAUGCAUCCAUCCUGGCCCAGACCCACCCUUCAGAAGUCGUUAUUCCUUAACCCACUCUAAACGGGCACAGGUGACAAAGCAAUCAAACUCUACAGUCAAAACUGAAGUACACAUCGGGAUUUCCCAUUGGUUUCCUGGUCUGGGUAGAAAGAGGAAUAGGGAGAGGAGAUGAGGGGAGUGGAGGCCGCGAUGCACUCAGGAAAAGUCUUGGUGGCCACUUUUGAGGACACUGGCCUAGCACCAGUCUGGAGGUGAGAGCGGGACCGAGCGGGUACUAAGGUUGCAAUGGCGGCGUUGUGCCCAGAUGUCGAGUAUAAACCUGCGCCGGUGAACACUUCCCAGUACCCUCGACCCAACUCGGUACAACAUCGUCUCCCCGAAAGACGCAAAUCGGGCCUUGUGCUUAAAUGGGUUAUCUGCUGCUGUACAGUGACCCCGCCGCACAUCAAAGAUCCUGCUUUGACUCCUUAGACUUAAGCUCAGCAAAUGUAGGUCUGCUCUAAUUUCAGACCUACUCCCAAGAACUCACUCUUAGGAGCUAUGCUAGGAACAUUCCCCUCUUACAUGUUUUCAAAACUGUAAGAAAGGAAAGGCUUAUCUGGGAAGGAAACUUGAACUGAACAUUUAACAUCUAUUAAUUUUGGCGUUGAUGACUCUAUUCUUGUAUAAAUAAAUCUAUUAAACACAAGAAUAAAGGAAGUGUUCACGUGG
rnacentral:lncRNA from 1 species